UGAAUGGUGGACCAGACAAAAGAACAAAGAAAAGAUCUCUGACUUUGCCAGGAACUGACUUGUCGGCGAAAAAAGCAGGAAGAUAUCAGAUGUCAAUCAGAAAGAAGAGCAGGCCAGACACACAGCCAUCCUCAGAGGGUCACACCGAGCGGUCACUGCCAGCAGGGCCUGUUGACAGCUUUCCGCUUGUUAUCCAGAGCUGAAACUGGAGACAAAUUAGAUCCCUGCAGUGGAGAGAGUUGGUCAAAGGCUCCAGAUGUGGCUGUGUAGUGAGGGUGGUCAUCAAAUCUACAACCCUAUUGGCAGACAGAAAGUUGAUAUUGGACAAUUGCAAAAUCUUACCUAACCUCUGGUUGCUAUACAAAAUAUUCUACAUAUUGUUUUUGAAAAUAUUGGCAUUGAACAUUUAAAAACAUUUAAGCUAGAAUGCGUCCAUUGCCCAGAAACCUAAGAAUGUGCGGUAUUUCUCUCUACAGCUGCUUUAUGUACAUCUGCAUGUCAAUGAGGUGCCCUGUUAGUGAGGUUAUGUAGUUUUAAAUAGUAAAAGUUUAAAAUUAUAAUAACGCAUUCUUCAAAAUAACUUCUGUCCAAACAAAUGCUGCCCUUACCCUUCACAUGUCUAUUUUUUAUUUUUUUUUUAUAAUGUGGGCCAUAUACAUUCCUGAAGCCUUUUUGCUGGUACCCUGUAAUGGAGUUUACCUUAAAGGCUAUUGAUUACUCAUUAGUACGGUGUUCAUUUUAGGACAUCCUCAGAUCUCAGACUCAGGUGUCAGACUCAAACGAAAUGGCCUCAGCGUCAGAAAACCUCUCUCAUCCUCAGAAAAAAAGAAAAGAAAAAGUCACUGGCAAAGAAAGAGUACAUUAGUUAAUAAUUAAUCAUCAAUCACAGGAAUUGUCUAAAAUGUGCAUACCUAUCAUCAAUACUGGUGUAGUCUUAUAAGAGGUAUAGCAUACAUAGUUAGAUUGCAGUAUGCAUGCGUCUUCUCUUGUUCUUGGGAUAGUAAAGAUAAUGUGUUCAAGCAUGAAUAUGCAAAAUACCUUAAGGAAUAAAAGGUGUAGUAGGUAAGACUUAUAAAACAAACUUUCUGUCUUAUUUACAGAAACUGAUCCUAUGUUCGAGUAGAACUA